rnacentral:rRNA from 1 species
UACGGGGGGGGCGAGCGUUGUUCGGAAUUAUUGGGCGUAAAGGCGCGUAGGCGGUGUGGCAAGUCAGGUGUGAAACCUCCAGGCUCAACUUGGAGCUUGCAUCUGAAACUGCCGUGCUAGAGUGUGGGAGAGGAGAGUGGAAUUCCUGGUGUAGCGGUGAAAUGCGCAGAUAUCAGGAGGAACACCGGUGGGCCGAAGGCGGGUCUCUGGGCCGAUACUGACGCUGGAGGAGCGAAAGCGUCGGGAGCGAACAGG